AGCUAUUCAUAUUGAACAAUUAAUUUCCGGUUCGGCAAUUUUGAAUGAACGAAUGUGUAGUUGCGGGAAUGCGUGUGACAACACUUUUACCGCAGUAACCAAAUUUUGUCGCUGUUUGACAUCCGUUACAAAGUAUUAAAACUGAAUUUUACACUUGAUUUACAUCAUUUCAAAUCGAAUAUCCGAAUAUAUCAGUACAUUGUUAGUCAAUUAUAAAAUCGAUUUUAUUAAAUUCACUUGGGAAAUUUCUGAUCUUUGUUAAACUUUUUUUCUUGAGCAAACGAGAAAAUUCGUUGAAAUGAAGUCCAAAGUAUUGAAGGGAAUUUUUAAAUCUGAUUCAAAAAAAUCAACACCAAUUUCAACAGGUGGUGUGAAGAAGAAGUGCUGUAAAUGUAAUGCGUGCAAAUGCAAACACCAUCACAAAACUAUCGUCAAAAUACUACCCGGUGCCUUUACGUCUGAUAUUUUGUAUUAAUUCACUAUGCAAAUAAAAACAUUCAUUUGAAGAAA